GACGUGGUGUGAGGGCUCAGUACCUGGAGGAUAUACACGAAAAGAAUGGUUUUUCUCAAGUAUCUAAAAAUUUUCGAAUCUAUCAGAAUGAUAUACCUAGGAAAAUUUUUAAAUACUUGAGUAAAAUCAUUCUCUUCGUGUAAAAAUCCAACGAAGGGGAAGCUAACGUACCCUCGUCCGCCGAUUUAAUUGAAAGUGAACGAACCGCAGCCGGUUCGUCGCGUCGCGCGUUUGCUUCGGGAGUGCCGUUAAAAUUAUCGGACUAAUGGACUUUUAACAAAACCCAUUUGAUGGAAUUCUAUUUCGGCGAUGGAAUCAUAUCUGCGACGUUUCGACAGGAAAGCGGAACUCUCAUUGAGACGUUGCUGAGGUGGUUACGGUCACUGCAACGCUCUCACGCCAAGUGCUCCGGGCACGAGGUGAUGCCGGCCGCGUAAUGUCACGCACUUCGUGGUGCGUGUUCGCGCGGUUUAGCAACUACUGUUGCUGUCGGCUAAUUGAGGACAAGCUCUGUCUGUCGGUCAACAGUUCGGCCCUUAGCGAUAAGAAGCGAUCGAUCGACUCGGAUUCUUCUCUGGGCCUGUAUUCGAUAACUCGAGUUAUGCAGUCGUUAUACAUAACGAUUACAUAACGAGUUAUAGAAUUCCGCCUUGGUGAGUCGUCCAAAAAGGAGUUGUAUAACUCUGGAUCAGGGCGCUCAUUUCUCUGUCAUUAUCUACCAGCCUAAAUCGCGUUUAAUCUGACUUGGUCAGAGCCUAGCUCUAGUAGUUUUUUUAAAAAAAACUAGCUUCGUGCCGAGGGGUUGGAUUCCAUUCCUGAAUUGUCUAGAUUGUUAGACAAUCGGUGAUGGUACCAACUUUACUCUUAUUAGAGGAGCUCGUCACGUCUACCAGUCUCUUGGAAAUCGCUCGAGGUACAGCACCACUUGUGUCCCACUAGAACUAGCAGUUAGGGCGUAUGACUGAGUCAAUUUUAAACAUGAUUUUGCGUAAAACAGAGGUGACGGACUCGAUACGAUCGAUUUCGUCUUCUUUCGUGUGGGGCUUAACUCUUGUUUGGCAUUCAUCGUGUGUUUCGCAAGUACUCGUCGACAUGUGAUAUUGAUUUCACCGAUCGAAAUGGAAAUCCUAUCAUGGAUUUUGUAAACGUGGAGUGCUGCAGUAUCGCGCGAAAGACUUUUAUUUAAAUAAUUAGUCCGCGCGCGAUUAUAGUAUAUUAUUCGCGAGUGUUCCACGCGAGUGUCCUGUGCGAGAGGAUGUCAACCCAAUUCUGAGAGGAGGAGGAGGUCUGGGAGAGGUAUCAAGCACCAGCGGAGCAACUUUAUGAUUUACUACUCAUGGAUGGAGAAUUUUUCGGUGGAAUACAUAAGGAGCAAUAGAGAUCGGUACUUUUGUGAUGGCUAUUUCGAAGAGCCGGAAUGACGCUGUAGCUUGUUCAUAUAGAUGCUUACACGUCGAAUGUCGAGAAUAGGCGAAUUCAAGAUGAGGAUAAGAGGGAAGCGGAGAGAGCAUAUGCGUCACGAACGCCGUUCGCGGCGAAGUCAGUUCAUCCAAGAUGGCGACGCCCAGUGAGUUGUCCCUCGAGGAGAUUCGCAACUAUUUGUUGGAAAACGGAGGCACAGCGCGCAAUCACGACCUGGUGAAGCAUUUCAAGCGGUUUCUGACGGAUCCGGAAACACGAGUCGAGGCGAGGAAUCGUUUCAAGGAGUACGUCAACACCUUGGCUACUAUAAAGAACGAGGAGGGUGAAAAAUACUUAGUUCUCAAGAAGAAAUAUCGGCAACCCUUUUUGGACCUUUCACCCCCUAAGCAAGCGGGAUCUCCCCUCGCCACCUCCAAUUUAACCACUCCGGUUUCUCCUCUACGCGAGCCUCCACCUUACCGGCCUCCACCCCCGGCACCUCUCAGUCCAUCCUCAAGUAAUUCUCACGUGAGCCUCGAAGAAAGCGCGACGCCGAUAUCCACGCGUGAAAAAAAUGACGAAUCGGAGCCUAGUUCGUCAAUGUCGUCACCACCUGUUCCACCGCGUCGCAAAAGUCAAGACAAACUCAAGGUGGAAAACAAGGAAAACGUUGAUAGAAACCGGAACAGCUCCUUGGAAGCCGUCAUAAAGGAAGAUGAAGCAAUAAUUACAACAAAUUCCUCCUCGGCUGAGCAACUCAGCGUUCGUGAACGAAUGCAACGCUUCAAUCGAAUGGCCAGUGAGACCGAUCUUCAUGUCCGGCAUAACGAUGCGACUAUACCUGCUAGAAAACGAACGGAUAAAGGCGCCGACGAGGAUGACAGCGCUUCCGUUGCCUCGCAACUGGAUGGAAAAUCGCGAGAGUGGCUGGUCAGAGCAUCGCAGGGGGACUAUCAAGCACUGGCGAAGCUUGCAGCCGAGGAACCUCGUCUCACCAGGCUCAAGGAUCCGACUUCCGGCUAUACAGCUUUACAUUGGGGAGCUAAACAUGGUAACGAGAACAUCGUUAAAUUAAUAGCGGGUACUUACAAAGACUACAUCAAGAGUGUCAAUGAAACUACGAAUGGGGGAUACACACCUUUGCAUAUCGCUAUGCAAUUUGGCCACGAGAACAUAUUCAAUCUCUUAGUUCAAGUAUACGGCGCGAAUCAGGACAUUCGUGACUACAGCGGUAGGAAGGCCAGACAGUAUCUAGCCUCGCAAGAGGCGGCAGUCAGCCAGGACACGUUCCACAGGAUUACUGCUGCCGCUACACUCAGAAAUAAAAGCAAGGAAAAAGCAUGCAGAGAAAGAUCUUGGUUUCCUACGAAUUGGCUCGUUGAACGUUCGCGUGAAACGUACUACGGAAGCCUUCAGCCAAUUCCUGGGUGUGGCAACCAGCAGUACGACUAACAACAACAACGAGAAGAUUCAUAAAUCGUGGGGAUCCGCAGAUAACGUUCAGCUGGAGCAGAAGUUGAUGCCACCGCCGAAGUACGCGCC
rnacentral:misc_RNA from 1 species